GUGUAACAAUGUAGUGUGAGUGCGUGUAUAUGUGUAUGUAAGUGAGUGAGUUGAUGUGUAUUAUGUGUGGGUAUGUAUAGGUAAGUGAAUGAGGUGGAAGUGUUGAUAUGAAUGUAGUGAUUGAUAAUUCUGCAUCAGUUGUAGCUUAGGAAAGUGGUCUCAGAAUUUUUUCAGUCUCCUCAUAGUCUAGUUUAUUUAGCCAGUCGCUGACGCUUUCUUUACAUUUACUUCUGGUGAGAUAAUGAAUGCUUAGCUCUUUAUUUAUUUUGUUAUAUAGGUAUGGGCCUAAAAAGGUAAAAAAGUUUUGAGUGAAACCAAAAUGUUUUCUUUCUAUAUGGCAGACGGUAGUAAGUCUUCUCCUGCUUGUGGAAUUAUCCGAAUUAAAUGGUAGCUGAGAGUGCAUUUUUAGAACGGUGUACAGGAUGAAUAGCUGGCGAACUGUCAGAACAUUGAAUCGCUGAUAUAGAUCAUAGGUUGGGUAACGGAAAGGCAGGAAUAAACUUACUUUAAGGAUAGCCCUUUGGGCUCGUUCUAACUUGAGUAAGUAAGAUUUGGCUGCACCACCCCACGACGUUAUGCAAUAGUUCAGGGCAGUGACAUGUUCCUGGAGGAGUUAUGUGGCAAGUGUGUGCGGUUAAAUGUAAGUUUGUAUGUUCCUGCGUUCUUUUACUAUAGGUCAUAUACAUAGUUUUCCCAACAUUGAGUGUGAGUAGAUUCUUAGUGAGCCAUCGAGUUACUUCGUCUAGACCCUGUUGAGCCCAUCUAAACGCGUCUUCCCAUGUGUCACUAUGAAAAAGUAGGGCAGUAUCAUCCGCAAACGAUACGAUUUUUCCAUUCUUUAAUUCUGUUUGACAUAGAUCAUUUAUGUAGACUAGAAACAAUGACGGGCCAAGGAUACUACCCUGAGGGACGCCACACUCAAUAGGUAAUUCAUCGCUUACCCAGUUCUCGAUUUUAACUACCUGGGUUCUUCCAUGCAAGUAGUCCUCGUAUAACUUCAGCUGUAACCCUCUUACUCCUAGGUGGUCAAGUUUUUUGAUCAAGAUGGGAAUAGAUACUGUGUCGAAUGCCUUUGCUAAGUCCAGAUAUAUUGCUAUUGUUUUAUUCUUUUUAUCUAAAUUUGAAACAAUAUAAUCUGUUACCAGAUGUACUGCGUCAGAGGUAGAUCUUUUGGCACGAAAACCAAACUGGGACUG